UUAAUGGUAUCAUUAUUAAAUGACUUUUAUGCAUCAAAACAAAAUUAGUAAUUUCUCAUACUAAUACUUUGUUAGUAGGGUUUCCCAUCAUCAUUUGGCCAUUCUGAAGCACACAUCUCCAAAUUGUAGCAUCUUUUGCAGUCCAAAAGCGAUGGAAGUUCCAAAGAAAUGACUGGACUUGUUUAAACGGAUUAUUGCAAGUCACUCACCUGGAAAACAAGGGACAACAGGUACAUUCUAAGGGAAACAGGAAAGGGAUUACUUAAAGAAGGAAAAUUACGUAUUAGCGCGCUGAUAAAACAUAUGCUGAUACAUUAUUCAGCCAGAAGACUUGUUUGACAGCGCUCAAGCUCAAGUGCCAUUCGCUCGAUCAAGCAUCAUAGCCUUAUUUUCCAACUUCAGUUCUUGUUGCUUCGUAUCUUCUACGCGGCGAACCUCAGACACUUGAUUCUCUUGCUUCUCCAGUUCCAGAAUUUGGGCCUGAAUUUGUAACUUCUAUCCUUUCAACUGCUGUAAGCGAUGCAUAAUUUGUUGCUCAUUCUGCAAUGUUUCUGCCUCUUCAUGGUUAGCAGAAUCAUAAAUCUCCUUACGAUCUGAAUUAAUGAUAGAUUACGGGGAUGCACAAACCAUAUUGGAACCUCUUUCUUCCCCGAUAGGCAUAUCCUGCACAACAUAUUCAGGCUCAUACCUGUCCUUACGUUUGAGAGCGAACAACAUAAAAUGCUGGACUUCCAAAUCAUCUAGAAUGAAUAAUCUAUUUUGAUUGUUGUAUGAGCACAUUUCUUGAUAGAACAAUUGUUUGCUACUUAAAAGCUUCUUCACUUCCUCUUGCACAUCAUGAAUCAGGUCCAUAAUUUCCAUAAGGGUAGGGUCAGCCACAACAGAACAUGCAGUGUCUCUCCCAAGAAUAUCAUUCAGUCUCUUGAACUAUUUGUUCAGAUCAUUAAACUUAUCCUCACACUGCUGAGGUGAGAUACGAUGACCUCUUUCAGCCAUAGCGUUGGAAAUAGCCCUCCAUUUACCUUUCUUUUGGAAUAUCCCAUUGGACCAAAUAUCUUCUUCGAUGUAAGAAACAACAGUUAUCAAAAACAUAGCCAGCUCAUCUGUCCAUUUCAUAUGACUAUAUACAACUGGUUGUUUCUUCUUCCAUCGUGUACGCCGAUAUACAACUGGUUGUUUCUUCUUCCAUCGUGUACGCUGAUAUACAAUUGGUUGUUUCUUCUUCCAUCAUGUACGCCAAUAUACAACUGGUUGUUUCUCUUCGCCACGUACAUUGACUUCUCCAAUAGCAUCUACAGACAGCAUUUGUUGGUUCAUGUCUUGCAUUUUGUUAAAACCAAAGGAUGUUGCGGCUUCUAGAGCAUGCUGCAGAUUCCCUGAUUCCUUUUUAGGGGAAUUGCUUUCUUGGAGAUUAACUUCCAUUGAUCCGCACAAAUCUAGGAGCCCACAGGAUUAAUCUGGUACAUAUAAAGCAAGCUGAUAAAUGGCCCUUCGAAAUUUAGUAGCUUAGCAAUCUUAGUAACUCACGAACUUAUUGUGGGUGCUCGUAGUUCCUUGAAAUUCUUGCUGGAGAGAAAUGCGUAUUGCCCUAUAGAUGUAAAUCAAGUUCUUGCUGACAUUGGGGAGGGAGAAACUCUGUAACUUCAGAGUGUGAUGUUAGAAGUAGAAACCAGCAACUUGAGUAGUAAAAAAAAGUCAACCACAUCUACAGAAGUUGAGACUGGAAAAGAGUGCAUGAUGCUUGGAACCAGAAACGGAUGCUCAAUCCAAGUGUACGAUCAACUGGCAUUUUACCAUUUUUGUUCCAGGAUGUGUAGUUCGUGAAAGAAAACUAACACAAAAUUCAUAGGCACUUGCUGAUCUUUUCACACGCUAUAACUCUGGAGAAAUCUGAUAUUGCUGGCAAUGCCAUGGAGGGUACUUUCUUGGAUUAAAGUGGUUGUCCGCAGACUUUACUUCCAGAAAUUCGGUUUACUGUACAAAUCUCUUCUAAUGGUUCCUUAGAUUCCAACUUCCCAUCAAAGAUAUCUGUGCAGGUCUCUCAAGUUGUUCAGUGCAUUAGUGGAGGUUAAGUGGUCAUUUAGUAACAUGGUCGUGGGAUACGCGAUUUCAAGUCAAAGCUGCUAACAAGUAGGGUGCCUAAAUAAUUCAGGAACAUAUGACAUGAGCAUGUCCAUUUAUAUUUUUUGGUUUAAUAAGCUCUAGAUUUCAAUAAUGAACAGGUCGCAGAUGGAAAUAAGGAUUUCACGGUAACUUCAAUGCUCAACAAAUAAAGAAGCCGACGGUCAAGAUGUUUCAGGAAACUGUUGGCGCUGAUUUCUGGUCAGGUGCCACUCUUGCCGGAUCCAGGGAUAACCACAAUCUCAUAUUUAUAGAAAAACAAGAUAAAGAAAUCAUUAUAGAUGAAAGGAACAAGCAGACAAGGACAGCACAAUCAACACCUAAAACAACAACUCACAGAAAACAAAAAGGGACGUGGGAGUUGAAAAGGCUGUGUUUAAUAUGAAGUUUGGAAAACUGUAUCGAAGGGACAGGGCAGGCAACAAAGUACACCUGUGAGAUAAUAACCAAAAUUGCCAUCUGCACUGUGCCGUUGAAUUGCAGAGAGCUUAUCAAAUCACUUUUCAUGAGUUGGAAUUUUAACAUUAUUGCAUACAGGAAACAAAAAUGGGGAAGUGGAAUACUGAAGACGUGAGACAGAUUUGGCCUAAUAGAUGGCCGCCUACAUAACAACACUGGAUGCUGAAAGGAGAAUUGGAGGAAUGUCCAUCUGUUUUGUGGAAUGAAAUUGGAAGAUUGUAUUAAGGUUACGCACUCACUGUCCAUCUUAUUGUUGAUGGGCUUGCUGAAGAAAAUUCUUCACUAAUUGAUCAAAAUAUAGACAAGACAGAAGAAUCACUAUCAGAUUAAUCCUGUCGGCUCCUAGAUUUGUGCGGAUCAAUAGAAGAUAAUCUCCAAUAAAGCAAUUUCCCUAACCAGGAGUCAAGGUGUCUGCAACAUCCUCUAGAAGUCACAUCAUCCUUUGGUUUUAGCAACAUGGAAGACAUGAACCAACAAGUGCUGCCUGUAGAUGCUAUCAGAGAAGUCACUGGACGUGGUGAAGAGAAACAACCAGUUGUAUAUCGGCAUACACGAUGGAAGAAGAAACAACCGGUUGUAUAUCAGCGUACAUGAUGGAAGAAGAAACAGCCAGUUGUAUAUCGGCAUACACGAUGGAUGAAGAAACAACCAGUUGUAUAUAGUCAUAUGAAAUGGACAGAUGAGAUGGUUAAGCUUUUGAUAACUGUUGUUUCUUACAUCGAAGAAGAUAUUUUGGUCCAAUGGGAUAUUCCCAAAGAAAGGUAAAUGGAGGGCUAUUUCCGAUGCUAUGGCUGAAAGAGGUCAUCGUGUCUCACCUCAGCAGUGUGAGUAUAAGUUUAAUGAUCCGAACAAAUAGUUCAAGAGACUGAAUGAUAUUCUUGGGAGAGGCACUGCAUGUUCUGUUGUGGCUGACCCUGCCCUUAAGGAAAUUAUGGACCUGACUCAUGAUAUGCAGGAGGAAGUGUAGAAGCUUUUAAGUAGCAAGCAGUUAUUCUAUCAAGAAACGUGCUCAUACAACAAUCAAAAAAGAUUAGUCCUUCCAGAUGAUUUGGAUCUCCAACAAUCUCUAAUGUUGGCUCUCAAACAUAAGGACAGGUAUGAGCCUCAAUACCCUGUGCAGGAUAUGCCUAUCGGGGAAGAAAUAGGUUUCAAUUUAGUCUGUGCAUCCCUGAACUCGAUCAUUAAUUCAGAUCCUAAGGAGAUUCAAGAUUCUACUAACCAUGAAGAGGCAGAAAUGUUGCAGAAUGAGCAAUAGAUUAUGCAUUGUUUACUGCAAUUUGAAGGAAAGAGGUUACAAAUUCAGGCCCAAAUUCUGGAACUGGAGAAGCAGAGAGUCAAGUGGAUGAGGUUCCGCCGCAAAGAAGAUACGGAGCUACAAGAACUGAUGCUGGAAAUAAGGCUAUGAUGCUUGAUAACGAGCAAAUGGCGCUUGAGCUCAAGCGCUGUGAAACAAGUCUUCUAGAUGAAUAAUGUAUCAGUAUAUGUUUUAGCAAGGCGCCAAUACGCGGUCUGUAAUUUUCGUUCUUUAAGUAAAGCCCUUUCCCGUUACCCUUAGAACGUACCUUUUGUCCCUUGUUUCCUGUUUUCUUUCUUUUGGUGUAAGACGUGCAAAAUCGUAAUUUGUACCUUGUGGUAGUUAAUUUGUGGCACUUUAUUGGGAUGUUUGGUGCAUGAUAUCUUUAUUAAUUAUAUUGUGUUUCUCGUUUC